rnacentral:rRNA from 1 species
UACGUAGGGGCCUAGCGUUGUCCGGAUUUAUUGGGCGUAAAGAGCUCGUAGGCGGUUCGGUAAGUCAGGUGUGAAAUCUCCACGCUCAACGUGGAGGCGCCACCUGAAACUGCCGUGACUCGAGUCCGGUAGGGGAGUGUGGAAUUCCCGGUGUAGCGGUGAAAUGCGCAGAUAUCGGGAGGAACACCGAUGGCGAAGGCAAUCCCCUGGACCUGUACUGACGCUCAUGCACGAAAGCGUGGGAGCAAACAGG